rnacentral:lncRNA from 1 species
UUUGUCUUACGACACGGCAUGGUAAUUGAUCGAGUGCGCUUUCCUUUCUCCUACUCCCACUUCGGGAAGGGAAGUGCUAAAGGGCGGGCAUGCUCGACUGAAAGGAGAGGAAAGCUUCUUCACUUUCGGCACGGGCGCGGACUCCGCGAUCUCUGGGUCGCCGAGGUUCCUUUUCUUCCGCCUCUUAAGAUCCGCUAUCUCUAUGAUUUGAUCCUUCGCGUAUCGGCCCCAUACUUCUUUGAUCUCCCUUUCUCCUGACGUAAGAAAGUGACACAGGCUUGGCCAGCUUUUUUCAAACUUGACGGUCAAGUUCCCUGCUACUUCCGUAAAUACGCCUUGGAUGAGCCUAACAGCCGUGUACCUGGAAGCACUUUUGUUUUCAACCGCCAGAUGGUAAAGGAAGGCGCCAUCCCUCCUUUCUCUCGCAA